rnacentral:tRNA from 1 species
GCCCCUGUGAUGUAAUUGGAAAACAUCGCUUACUUAAGAUAAGUGUUUUGCAGGUUCGAGGCCUGUCAGGGGUA